rfam:Mesocricetus auratus contig197554, whole genome shotgun sequence.
GGAUUAAUGAUGAGAACACGUCUCUGAGGACAUUGAUCGACUCAUGAACAUGCCAAACUGAGUUCU